rnacentral:rRNA from 1 species
GACAGAGGUGGCAAGCGUUGUUCGGAUUUACUGGGCGUAAAGAGUGCGUAGGUGGUGAGGUAAGACCUGUGGGAAAGACCUGGGCUUAACCCAGGAAGGUCGCAGGUGACUGCCUCGCUUGAGGACGGGAGAGGAGAGCGGAAUUCCCGGUGUAGCGGUGAAAUGCGUAGAGAUCGGGAAGAAGGCCGGUGGCGAAGGCGGCAUCCUGGACCGGUAUUGACGCUGAGGCGCGAAAGCCAGGGGAGCAAACGGG